UUUGAAGGGACGUUUGGAGUUUCCGGUGCUGUGGCGUGAAACAGUUUGUGACUAAUGGCGAAAACAAAUAAAGUAAAUAUGGCUAAUUUCACAUGAAGAACUGGUAACAAGCCUUCAAACAUGUAUUUAAUAAUAAAGACUGCAUUAAGAAGAACAUGCCCGGUGUGAGAAAGCUGCACCCGGUUACUUGCUCUUACCUGGGCUUGUUCGCGUUGACAUGGCUGCUGCCCCGGGCCGGUUGUCGUGGUGGUGGUGGUGGAGGGCCCGGGAGGCGCAGGGAACUUCAGGCCGUCAUGCGGCUCCACGGAGGCGGCCUCGUUGAGGGCGGUCUGCAGGGUGAGGGUCCCGGCGGCGGAGCUUCCCUCUGAACCGUCGGAGCCUUCCGGGACCAAGAGAAGCUGCUUGAUCAUCUUGUUCCGUGGGUUUGACUCCUGCUGCGGGGCCGACGUCUCAUUUUCCCCCGCUUGUCCGAUAGAUCAGGGGCCGUAUCCAGGGUCCAGCUCUGCAGACCAACACACACACACACGGAGCUGCAGAAGAUCUACGCGCGAAACUCAGGUUCCUGGCGACACCUUUAAACCUCAUUUGCAUCUGGGUUUCUAUUGGCUGUCGCUCUGUGUACGUAAAGGCGUGUACGUGAUUUGACGUACAUGGACUUUACCUGAAUAACUUAUACAUACACAUUCCAUAGAGUUAAAGUUGCCACUAUAUUUGCACAUUUGAAUAUAUAAGGUUUUAGUAUUGUAUCGUAUUGUGUUUGACUUUUUUUAUAGAGUUCUUUCUACCUUGGUUUUAUUUUGUUUUAAUUAUUAGACUGCUGAACUGACCUGUUUCUUCUCGUCCACCACUUUUCAUUGUACUGUUGAACCCUUGUCAACUUGCAAAGGACAAAUGAAACUUGAAGUUACAUCUCCAAGGGAAAUAAAGCACAUUUUUUCUGACGGC